rnacentral:piRNA from 1 species
UUCCGUUCAACCCGGACCGAUGAUGAU